AUAAUUCCCCAUAGAAUCAUGGGCGGAGGAAGAUAGAACUGCCCAUUGAUUGAGUUGUUGUUAUAUGUUACGUUUACUUAAAGUACAGCUACUUGUUAUCUGUAUGUUCUGAAGAUUUCAUUACUUUCUGCACUCAACCCUCAAUCCUUUCAAUUCAUAAAUAAUUUCUUACAAUGGUGUAAGCUGUGAAUCUUUCAGAUCUACUUACCGUUCUAUUUCUAACUAUCGUUUUCUUUUGUAGCAGAAGAUACUCUGUUCCUUCAUGUUUGAAAAAUAAGUUAUAUUCUGAAAGCUGCACUCUAAAAACAUUUUUCCUACUUCCUUUAGAAAGGAAAACAUGAUAUUAUAAAGGCUAUAAUUCAGCAAGUAUCACGUGCUGUGACAUCACAGGGUGACUGUAUUAUCUCACUCAACUUCAGAGUAAUAGUGGUCCAGUUCUCACAACUCCUUGUCCUAGGAGAGGCAAGCUACUUCUGUUUGUUCAGGGUGCCUAGCUGGUAUUUAAUAGAAAUACUUAAAAGGCUUCUGUAUCAUCUUAGAGAAGUCUGUAAAUCUCAGGACUGUCUUCCAAGCAUCCCAAACUUCAUCCUCAAAAAAGAACAAAUGACUUUAAAUGACCUUCCCUACUUCUAACUUAUGAAGAACCGAGUUGAUUCUUCCUGGGACACUUUCAACUUCCUCCAGAGUCUUUCCCUCUCC
rnacentral:lncRNA from 1 species